GACAGAGGGUGCAAACGUUGCUCGGAAUUACUGGGCGUAAAGCGCACGCAGGCGGUCUGCUAAGUUUGGAGUGACAGUUGGUGGCUUAACUGCCAAAGUGCUUCGAAAACUGACAGACUUGAGGGCUUCAGAGGGACACGGAAUUCCGGGUGGAGUGGUGAAAUGCGUAGAGAUCCGGAGGAACACCAAAGGCGAAGGCAGUGUCCUGGGGAGUACCUGACGCUCAGGUGCGAAAGCCAGGGGAGCGAACGGG
rnacentral:rRNA from 1 species